rnacentral:rRNA from 1 species
UGGGGAAUAUUGCACAAUGGGCGAAAGCCUGAUGCAGCGACGCCGCGUGAGGGAUGAAGGCCUUCGGGUUGUAAACCUCUUUCAGCAGGGAAGAAGCGCAAGUGACGGUACCUGCAGAAGAAGCGCCGGCUAACUACGUGCCAGCAGCCGCGGUAAUACGUAGGGCGCAAGCGUUGUCCGGAAUUAUUGGGCGUAAAGAGCUCGUAGGCGGUUUGUCGCGUCUGGUGUGAAAACUCGAGGCUCAACCUCGAGCUUGCAUCGGGUACGGGCAGACUAGAGUGCGGUAGGGGAGACUGGAAUUCCUGGUGUAGCGGUGGAAUGCGCAGAUAUCAGGAGGAACACCGAUGGCGAAGGCAGGUCUCUGGGCCACAACUGACGCUGAGGAGCGAAAGCAUGGGGAGCGAACA